rnacentral:rRNA from 1 species
UAGGGAAUCUUCCACAAUGGCCGCAAGUCUGAUGGAGCAACGCCGCGUGAGUGAAGAAGGUUUUCGGAUCGUAAAGCUCUGUUGUUGGUGAAGAAGGAUAGAGGCAGUAACUGGUCUUUAUUUGACGGUAAUCAACCAGAAAGUCACGGCUAACUACGUGCCAGCAGCCGCGGUAAUACGUAGGUGGCAAGCGUUGUCCGGAUUUAUUGGGCGUAAAGCGAGCGCAGGCGGAAUGAUAAGUCUGAUGUGAAAGCCCACGGCUCAACCGUGGAACUGCAUCGGAAACUGUCAUUCUUGAGUGCAGAAGAGGAGAGUGGAAUUCCAUGUGUAGCGGUGGAAUGCGUAGAUAUAUGGAAGAACACCAGUGGCGAAGGCGGCUCUCUGGUCUGCAACUGACGCUGAGGAUCGAAAGCAUGGGUAGCGAACAGG